UUAAAAUGAGAGUUUGAUCCUGGCUCAGGAUGAACGCUGGCGGCGUGCCUAAUACAUGCAAGUCGAACGCUUUGUCUUUAACUGAUAUGAAGAGCUUGCUCUGAUUUGAUUUUAUCUGACAAAGAGUGGCGAACGGGUGAGUAACACGUGGGUAACCUACCUCUUAGCAGGGGAUAACAUUUGGAAACAAGUGCUAAUA
rnacentral:rRNA from 1 species